GGGCCCGUAGCUCAAUUGGAUAGAGUACUCGGCUACGAACCGAGCGGUUACAGGUUCGACUCCUGUCGGGCCCACCA
rnacentral:tRNA from 1 species